rnacentral:rRNA from 1 species
AUUGAACGCUGGCGGCAUGCCUUACACAUGCAAGUCGAACGCGAAAGGGGGCAACCCUGAGUAGAGUGGCGAACGGGUGAGUAAUGCAUCGGAACAUUUCCUGUAGUGGGGGAUAACCUCGAGAAAUCGAGGCUAAUACCGCGUACGUCCUACGGGAGAAAGCGGGGAUCGCAAGACCUCGCGCUAUAGGAGUGGCCGAUGCCGGAUUAGCUAGUUGGCGGGGUAAAAGCCCACCAAGGCGACGAUCCGUAGCUGGUCUGAGAGGAUGAUCAGCCACACUGGGACUGAGACACGGCCCAGACUCCUACGGGAGGCAGCAGUGGGGAAUUUUGGACAAUGGGCGCAAGCCUGAUCCAGCCAUGCCGCGUGAGUGAAGAAGGCC